GCUUGGGGCCGUGUCCUGCUAGGUAUCGUGUCCUGCUUGGUGCCGUGUCCUGCUAGGUGUCGUGUCCUGCUAGGUGUCGUGUCCUGCUUGGUGUCGUGUCCUGCUAGGUGUCGUGUCCUGCUAGGUGUCGUGUCCUGCUUGGUGUCGUGUCCUGCUAGGUGUCGUGUCCUGCUAGGUGUCGUGUCCUGCUUGGUGUCAUGUCCUGCUAGGUGUCGUGUCCUGCUAGGUGUCGUGUCCUGCUAGGUGUCGUGUCCUGCUAGGUGUCGUGUCCUGCUUGGUGUCGUGUCCUGCUAGGCGUCGUGUCCUGCUAGGUGUCGUGUCCUGCUUGGUGUCGUGUCCUGCUUGGUAUCGUGUCCUGCUAGGUGUCGUGUCCUGCUAGGUGUCGUGUCCUGCUAGGUGUCGUGUCCUGCUAGGUGUCGUGUCCUGCUAGGUGUCGUGUCCUGCUAGGUGUCGUGUCCUGCUAGGUGUCGUGUCCUGCUAGGUGUCGUGUCCUGCUUGUGUCCUGCUAGGUGUCGUGUCCUGCUAGGUGUCGUGUCCUGCUAGGUGUCGUGUCCUGCUAGGCGUCGUGUCC
ensembl:lncRNA